ACCCUCAUGAGCAGAUCCUUUCCUUGAUUUAUUUAGCAGAUGACUAAGGGGCCGUUUACACAGGACCCUUUUUCUCAUGUUAAAAACAGCAGAGCACCACAGAAGGUGGGUUUAAAUGCACAUUAACUCCCAGACACUGGCUAAUGUUCACCUCAAGAUGUUCACUCUGCCCCCUGAUUCAUCUGAUGGCCAUGAUUUGAUUUGUAACUAUUAAACUAUCAACUCAAUUUUGAUAAAAAAUACAUCAAAUUACAGAAAUAAACUUGUAAAAAUCAUGGCACGGAUGUGCACAUAUGUGCACUGAAGUGAAAAAAGACAGAAAUGGUAGAAACUAUUUUUUUUUAGAAUAUUUCACUGCACAAAAUUCAUUAGGAUACUGACAGUUUUUAUUAUGAAAAUCGCAUUUUCUGAGGAGGAUGUAAUAUGAGAGUGAAACUUCACGGUGUUAUUAUAAAGACCGCCGUCGAUUUUCAAUUUGCAUAAGAAAAUAACUGGAUACGUGGAUAAUGUGCAACAGAAUGUCAUGAUGGGAUAGAUGGGUUAUUUCAUGACAAUGAUUUUAUUACCCUGAUCUUCUGGGAUGAUUCAGAUUUAAAGUGAACAACAGAAAAUGAGGAUAAAGCGGUUACAGGUACACGCGGUUCUUCAGCUUUUAUUAAUGAAGUGAAUGUCUUGCAUUUUAGAAACCAGAUCCCUUAAUCCAGCAGAAUCACAAGACUACAAUUUCAGAUAGAAAGUAUUAUCCUAUCUGACUCAUGGUUUAGAAAUUAUUAUCAAAAAAUAACACAAAGUAUGUGUUAAAGAAAAAUAUUAUUCAAUAUAUUAUUUUACCAAUUAACAACAACUGGAUAACAAAUCGUGUUUCUAUAUCAGAAUAGGCCAAAAAGCAUUUAGACGCUUAAAGGUGCAUCCACAUUCGUGAAAUUUCAGUCAGUAUAGUGUAACGAUCUAUGAAUCAGAGCUCACACAGAAGUCACUUUCAAACCAAGACGAAAAAUGUUAUAUCAUUUGAAAGUAACAUUCCUAUAAUCGUUGCAAAAUUCUAAAAUGGAACGUUCCCUUAACAUUCACAUAUCAAAACUGUUUUUAUAAUUUUUUUUUUUUUUUUUUUUAAAUGGAUGUUUGAAAUGUUCAGAAAACAUUCAGAAAAAAGAAAAACUUUUCAUAAUUUAAUGGGAACAUAAAAAAAAAAAUCUUAGAACAUACUUUGUUAGCUGGGAGAGUUCAAGCAAACUUUACAAGCAAAACAUUUCACAGAAAGAUAAUAAUUCAAUAAUUCAAAACCACUGUCUGGUCAUCAAAUGUUACUGGGACAAAUCCAUCAUGAACAUCAAGAAAUAUGCAUUAAAGUGUGCUCACAGUAACUUUCCCACGCAGAUUGGUCGAUCAAGUUGGUCGCUCGAAAAUGAAAGAGACUUCAGUGUAAGUAAUAAGUCAUACAUCUCUAUGCUAUUUACAAUGGACCUGUUUUUGCACCCAAAAUUUUGCCACUGCACCUUAAGAAAGUAAAUAUGCCCAUUUUGAUUUCAUGUUGACAUUUGUUCCACUGUACACCUCACCUGAGCUGCACAUGCAUUUCCAUUAAGUCAGCAUUGUUGUGUUGGUGUCUGGCCAUAUUUAUAAUCUGGAUUCGCAGUGUCAGGGUUUUUCCUGUAUGUGGUCUUGAGGGACAGCGUGUGUGUGGUUCUGCAGGGGUCUGCAUUAGCUCUAAUGGCCAGAGGGGUCACGUUUAAAAUCAUAAUGGCUUUCCCGCUCCCUCUCCUGCUGGGACAAGUGUCUGAACCACUCGGCCUCAGAAAGAACAUCAGCCAUUCAACUCCCUAAUAAAAGAUGACGUUUUCAAUUCUUUAAAAAAAAUCAUUUUGCACUUCCCUCUUACACGAAGGCGGUUCUCGUUCUUUUUUUUCCGAGUGGUUUCUGACACAUUGUCAUUAUAAUUGUGCUUUGUCACAGUGCUGUUGUUAGACUGUAGCUGGAGGGGAAAGGCUUUGUUUAUUGUUUUAAUACAGGAGAAAGACAGAGCUGCUCUGACGAUUCAACCCAAGAUGAAAAAACAUUCUGAUCAUCCUAUUUUCAGUUUAACAUGUUCAAUCUCAGCUUACAUACAGAUGUAUUUUUCAACCAUUACUUGUUGCGUAUCACAGGUGGAAUCUCUAGGCUUUUUGAGGUGGUAAAAUCUAAGGAAUGUCUUAAACAAGAGCUGAGAGUUCUACAAAAACAUUCAAAUUACCCAAUAAAGAAGUUUGUGAAUGAAGGGCGAGCCAAUUCCUGCGGACAUCUGAAGGCGCUGAUUGUGUGUGGGCCUGCUUAUCACUGACAGAUAGCAAUUAUGUUACAGCAUAUUGCUCUACUGUCAGCAUCUGCUCUGAUAAGCUUGGCUUAUCUAGAUUGAGUUCCUUGACUGUGUUCGGAACAGAAUACUAGUGUAUACCGCCUAUUGUUUUAAUUGAAUGUGAAACAGCAUAUAUAUAUUAAUAUAUAUAUAUUAAUAACUUAAUAAUUAUGCAGAAAUAGAGGUAUAAUAGUAUGCUAUUUCAAACACAGUCUUUGUUCCUAACUCAAACCCUGUUAAACUAACACACACAGCAGCUACAUAUUUCUUUAAGACUUUGAAGGUUAAAUUAUUUAUAUGUAGACGUACUUUAUGUGGUUUAGAAUGCACACAAUAACAGGCCUGACAUCAGAAGGUUUAUGGAUGUUAUGUCCGGUGUGGGUCCGCAGGGUCAGUCGGAUCAGUCCGAGGGUUGGUGAGUCCGCUUCAAACCAGCUGUUAGGGAAAAUCAAGGAUGUGGAAGAAAGUGAGGCAGGAUAAGUGAAAUGAUGCUGAGUAAUAUUUACCCUCCUCUCCCCUGACUCAUGCAGCGGUUGACCUCAUCCGCUGUAUUUUAUUUAUUUUAUUUUUUGUCUGUGUGUGUUGUAUGCAAAGAAAUGUGCCAGUUCAUCAGUUAUAUAAUGGAUUUAAAUGCAUCCUGCAGUGGCAGGGGAGGAUCAUUGUAGCUACUAAUGCACAUUUUAGCAUGUGCACCUAAUUAUGUGGUCCAUUUCCUGUUGGUUUUCUUGCUUUCAAGUAGAUAAAAGAGUCAAACAUGCUGCAUUUCCCCUCUCAACCCCCCGGCCAGCGAGAUGAGUAAAGCAAGCUUGUAUAUCUCAAAGGAUUUCACCAUUUCUGCCUCCACAUCUGCAGGUUGCUUAUUUGAUUGUCAGCCACUGUUGUGCCAUUGUGAACAUUGAUCAAUGUUUUUCAUUGUUUGUAAGGACAAACAACAUGAUAAUGUCAU
ensembl:lncRNA